UACGGAGGGGGCUAGCGUUGUUCGGAAUUACUGGGCGUAAAGCGCGCGUAGGCGGACCUGCAAGUCGGGGGUGAAAGCCCGAGGCUCAACCUCGGAACUGCCUUCGAUACUGCGGGUCUCGAGUCCGGGAGAGGUGAGUGGAAUUCCUAGUGUAGAGGUGAAAUUCGUAGAUAUUAGGAAGAACACCAGUGGCGAAGGCGGCUCACUGGCCGAUUUCUGACGCUGAGGCGCGAAAGCGUGGGGAGCAAACAGG
rnacentral:rRNA from 1 species